GACGAACGCUGGCGGCGUGCUUAACACAUGCAAGUCGAACGAAGAGCGAUGGGAGCGUGCUUCUAUCAAUCUUAGUGGCGACCGGGUGAGUAACGCGUAAUCAACCUGCCCUUCAGAGGGGGACAACAGUUGGAAACGACUGCUAAUACCGCAUACGAUCCGAGCUCGGCAUCGAGGAAAGAGGAAAAGUGGCCUCUAUUUCUAAGCUACCACUGAAGGAGUGGAUUGCGGCUGAUUAGCUAGUUGGAGGGGUAACGGCCCACCAAGGCAAUGAUCAGUAGCCGGUCUGAGAGGAUGAACGGCCACAUUGGGACUGAGACACGGCCCAGACUCCUACGGGAGGCAGCAGUGGGGAAUCUUCCGCAAUGGACGAAAGUCUGACGGAGCAACGCCGCGUGAGUGAUGACGGCCUUCGGGUUGUAAAGCUCUGUUAAUCGGGACGAAAGGUCUUCUUGCGAAUAGGUAGAAGAAUUGACGGUACCGGAAUAGAAAGCCACGGCUAACUACGUG
rnacentral:rRNA from 1 species